CUCUCUCGUUCUCUCUCUUCCCCACCCUCUCUCGUUCUCUCUCUUGCCCACCAACUCUCGUUCUCUCUCUUCCCCACCAACUCUCGUUCUCUCUCUUGCCCACCAACUCUCGUUCUCUCUCUUCCCCACCAACUCUCGUUCUCUCUCUUUCCCACUCUCUCUCAUUCUCUCUCUUCCCCACUCUCUUUCAUUCUCUCUCUUUCCCACUCUCUCUCGUUCUCUCUCUUCCCCACCAACUCUCAUUCUCUCUCUCCCCACCAACUCUCGUUCUCUCUCUUCCCCACUCUCUCUCAUUCUCUCUCUUUCCCACUCUCUCUCAUUCUUUCUCUUCCCCACCCUCUCUCGUUCUCUCUCUUCCCAACCAACUCUCGUUCUCUCUCUUCCCUACCCUCUCUCAUUCGCUCUCUUCCCCACUCUCUCUCAUUCUCUCUCUUUCCCACUCUCUCUCAUUCUCUCUCUUCCCCACCCCCUCUCAUUCUCUAUUUCACUCUACAGUGAUCUGAUCAUCUUGGCAUCAGACUGUACGUCAUGGUGUAUCAAAGCUGGAGAUGGGUGUGGUUCCUGUGUCCUUAUUUCAGAUGGGUGUGGUUCCUGUGUCCUUAUUUCAGAUGGGUAUGUUUCCUGUGUCCUUAUUUCAGAUGGGUGUGGUUCCUGUGUCCUUAUUUCAGAUGAGUGUG
rnacentral:lncRNA from 1 species